ACUUGGCCGUGCGCAGGCGCAGCUGCUGCGGCUCCUGAAAUCCUCUGGUGUGAACUUCUCUCCCAGGGCUGUUGGUGCAGCAUCCACUCUUCUGGCAGUGGGCGCCUGGACCUUAGUUACCCGGGGAGCGUGAGUCAUGUUGCCAUAGUUGAGCUGGCACAUAAAACUGCGAGUCACACCAGAAGAGGACAUUGGAUCCCACUAUAGAGGGUUGUGAGCCACCUUGUGGUUGCUGGGAAUUGAACUCAGAAACUCUGGAAGAGCGGUUGGUGCGCUUUACUGCUGAGUCAUCUCUCCAGUCCCAGUUUAUAGAACAAGGAAUUGAAGCUUGGAGAAGAUUGAUGGGCCACUCAAGUUCCCUGGAUGGUCCAGGAUUCAGACUGUGGAUGGCC
rnacentral:lncRNA from 1 species